GAAGCGCCGCCGUCUGCCCGCGCGUGGAGCCGGGAUGCCGCGGACGCGGGCGGAGGUGGACGCCACGCUGCAGGCCGCCAAGCUGCGAGCGGCCGAGCUGCUGCCCACGGCGCUGAGCCUGCGCUUCGGGCCCGGCGCGGCCUGCUGCCUGCUGGAGCUGGAGCCUGCGCUGUGCCGCCGCCUGGAGGCCGGGAGCAGCCUCGUGAUCCGCGGUGAGAAGGACGAGCAGGCCGUCCUGUGCAGCAGCGACAAAACCUACGAGCUCAAGGUGGCGGACACCUCCAACCUGCUGCUGUGCGUCCCGGGCUGCAAGACGCCUGCGCAGCUGGCGCAGGAGGAGGAGGCCCCCGACCUGAUGCACGCGGAGAUCUUUGGUUUUUCCAAUAAUUACUGGGAAUUAAGAAGAUGCAGACCUAAACUACAGAAGCUGAGGAAACUUCUGAAAGAAAACACCUAUGAAGGGCCCGACAGCCCAAAAGAAAUGGAUUCGAAUCGCUCCAAGUAUACAACUGAGGAUUUGCUUGAUGUAAUUCAGGCAAGUGAGGAAGAAAUAAUGGCCCACCUGCAAGUUCUGAAUGCCUGUGAGAUUGGAGGUUACUGGAGGAUUCUUGAAUUUGAUUAUGAGAUGAAGCUUCUGAAUCAUGUGACUCAGCUUGUGGACUCUGAGUCGUGGUCCUUCAGUAAAGUCCCUUUGAGUAUUUGCCUUCAGGAGCUGGGCCCACUGGAGCCAGAGGAAAUGAUAGAGCACUGUCUCAAGUGUUAUGGAAGGAAAUAUGUAGAUGAUGGCGAAGUUUAUUUUGAGCUGAGUGCUGAUAAGAUUUGCCGCACCACAGCCCAGAUGCUUCUGCAGAACGCAGUGAAGUUCAAUCUGGCUGAGUUCCAGGUGGUGUGGCAGCAGAGCGUCCCUGAAGGGAUGGCAACCAGUCUGGACCAGCUCAAGGUAACCCUGCUGGGCCUGCUGCAUGGUUCCAGGUCAUUGCCCCCAGGGUUUAGCGCUGGUGGAUAGACACUCAAGGCCAGAAAUCAUAUUUCUGCUCAAAGCUGAUGAUUUACCUGAGGGAAAUCAGGAACGUUUUAAUGCUCUGUUCUCUCUACGGGAGAAGUGGACGGAAGAAGACAUCGCUCCCUACAUCCAAGACCUAUGUGGAGAGAAGCAAACGAUAGGUGCCUUGCUCACGAAAUAUUCACGCUCCUCCAUGCAGAAUGGCGUGAAAGUUUACAACUCCCGAAGACCCAUUUCCUAAGGAACAGCAGUCCGCCUGGGGCGCAGUGGCUUUAUGAAGUGUGAGAUACAGAAACAGAUUCUCUUGUGAAUUUUUGUUCCUGACUUUUCCAUGAAGCUGUUUUUUCUCCACUGCUCUCCUAUAAUGGGACAUUUAUUCAUCCUUGACAUUUGUACUAUGAGAACAAGGCGAAAUAAAGUAUUUCCUACCUGUGCCUCUGA